AAUAUUAAUUUGUCAUACUCUUUUUUCAGAUUCUGGCAGAGUUCUGUCGCUUGUCGAGCAAAAACCUGGGUUCAGAAUUUUUCAAAGAACUUGACAAAUACACCCCUCGCUUCUUUGAGAUUUUCAAGAGCAAGGGGGGAAGUGUUGGCCAGAAACUUCAGACGUAUCUGCAACAAGUCAGACCCGAGGAGUGAUGUGUGUUUGAUAUGAUUUUUCAGAGUACAGAUGUUACUGCGAAGUGAACGGCAGUGCUCCGUGGCCUUCCUGUGAUCCUUGGAGAUGAGAACACAGACUUCUUCAAGACAUGCUUUGACUGCGAAGACCCAGACGUGUCUCACACCCCCAUUGGGAUCCUGACCAUCAUUCCUGAGGACAGGCAGGCCUCCCCGGACUCACUGCACCUUGAGUCUUCAGGUACUGCCAUCAUUUUGGAAGGAAGUCUUGUCAUGAAUGACCUUGGAAAUCUUCCACAUGCCAUGUGCUUGCUCUUUGGAUUUAUUUAUGCUCUGAAUUUGGAGUACCCUCAAC